UACGAAGGGGGCUAGCGUUGCUCGGAAUCACUGGGGCGUAAAGCGCACGUAGGCGGCUUUUUAAGUCAGGGGUGAAAUCCUGGAGCUCAACUCCAGAACUGCCUUUGAUACUGAGAAGCUUGAGUCCGGGAGAGGUGAGUGGAACUGCGAGUGUAGAGGUGAAAUUCGUAGAUAUUCGCAAGAACACCAGUGGCGAAGGCGGCUCACUGGCCCGGUACUGACGCUGAGGUGCGAAAGCGAUGGGGAGCAAACAGGGAUUAAGAAA
rnacentral:rRNA from 1 species